GAAAUCACUAAGAAUUCUUGGCAUUCGCUAAUUACUUCAUCCAGAACACCUGUGUAUGUUUAACAGCUGUAAGCUAUGUAUAUAUUGAAAUUCUGGUUAUAAUAAACUCAGAGUGGCCAUCAGCCCUCUCCGCAUCUAUCCUGAUGUGUACAUUGGAUUGCGACACCGACACUCAGUAGUUUGGUUUCUGAGGACUUCAGUAGGUUUUAAGGAUGUAGCAUGGCCUGAAGCAGCUUCUGCCUGUCACUUCAGACUGCAACAACCUUUCAUUGGCUUCCCAUCCUUCUCUGUUUGCGGGUUGGUCUGUGAAAACCAAGAAUCUAAAGUCUCUAUGACAUCUUCCCCUCUGCCCCAGAAAUAUUAGUUUAAAUUUUUAUUUUUCUCUUUUGCAGUCAUAAGAGAAAAUCUUAAGGUACUAUUGCAAACCUACAAGAUAUGUACACUCUUCUGCUUUCCUGAAAUAUUUGCUGGUACGUGACCAAGCCUUUCUGCUCUGUGAUUUUUUCUUUUUCAUUAAUAGUGUCCAGGUUUAUAGACUCACGUGAUUUGCUGACAAAAAGGGUCUGAGUAUUUUCUUUUUGGUUUCUCUAGGUGACUGGAAGUUUUUUAUGGGUGAGACUCUCUGUUCCUCUUUGUCAUCCUUAGGCCCUAACAUGGAGCCUGACAUCUAACACGUACUCUACUGAUGCUUUUGAAACUGAAAUGUGAAUGCGUUUAACCAAACUUUAUACAUGAUCAGAGUAACUUAUUUCCCAUUUGAACCCUUUAAGACAAUUUCAUACCAGUUUCUUCAGUAUUUUGGGGCAGAAUUGACCUCUCCAUCUUUGACUACAGUCUCGUGGUAAUAUUGAUUCUGCUAGUAUCAGACUUGAAUGGCCAUUACUAUUCAUUACUCCACUACAAAGUAGUUCAUUCAGUUCUCCAACAUGAAGAAAUAUACACCUGGUGUCUGGCUGGCCUACUUAUUAGGCAGCCUCGCUCUUAGCUGAGGCUGGGCAAUCUAUUUUGUGUUGGUUUUGCUUUAGAGGAAGCACAGUUUGUGUUGGACUUGAGGUGACUUGACACUGAUCCCUUGGAACAGAUGGCAGCUAACCACUGAUGUCACAGUAGCAAACCUUCAGGGAUGACACCUGGAGACCACAGAUAUGACCACAUUAUACAGCUGGAGCGCAAGCCGUGGAUGGCAAUAUACCUGAUGCCUUUUCCUAACCUGUGGCUUGCCUUUUAAUGUAUAUGCAGACUUUCAAAGUUAUAUUUCUAAAAGAGGUGAGUGAGGAAAUAAACUGGGGUCCACCCAGACAAUGGAUUAUUAUUCAACACCGAAAAGAAAUGAGCUAUCAAGCCAUGAAAGACAUGGAGG
rnacentral:lncRNA from 1 species